rnacentral:rRNA from 1 species
CAGCAGCCGCGGGAAUACGUAGGUGGCAAGCGUUGUCCGGAAUUAUUGGGCGUAAAGGGCUCGCAGGCGGUUUCUUAAGUCUGAUGUGAAAGCCCCCGGCUCAACCGGGGAAGGUCAUUGGAAACUGGGAAACCUGAGUGCAGAAGAGGAGAGUGGAAUUCCACGUGUAGCGGUGAAAUGCGUAGAGAUGUGGGGGAACACCAGUGGCGAAGGCGACUCUCUGGUCUGUAACUGACGCUGAGGAGCGAAAGCGUGGGGAGCGAACAGGAUUAGAUACCCCUGUAGUCCCUGUCUCUUAUAC